GAUGAAGAACGUAGUGAAAUGCGAUAAGUAAUGUGAAUUGCAGAAUUCAGUGAAUCAUCGAAUCUUUGAACGCACAUUGCGCCCAUUAGUAUUCUAGUGGGCAUGCCUGUUCGAGCGUCAUUUCAACCCUUAAGCCUAGCUUAGUAUUGGGAAUCGACUUUACUGUCGUUCCUCAAAUUCAACGGCGGAUUUAUAGCAAUCUCUGAACGUAGUAAUUUUUUUUCUCGUUUUUGAAAUACUAUAAACCUCAGCCGCUAAACCCCCAAUUUCUUAUUGUUGACCUCGGAUCAGGUAGGAAUACCCGCUGAACUUAAGCAUAUCAAUAAGCGGAGGA
rnacentral:misc_RNA from 1 species